rnacentral:misc_RNA from 1 species
CACGUGUUCCAACGGUUAACACGUGUCAGAAUCAUACAUUGAUCACACAGUAGCGUCCCACCGUACAGAUCUCUCCUUCUCCACUAGCUCUGAAGUUGCGGUCCUAUAGCGCACCAAAGACCAUAAACGCAUACACAGGGUAAGCAAAGAAAGAGAGAGAGAGAAUGGAAGGAGGUAGGAGAGUGGGUGUGGCAGUGGAUUUCUCGCCUUGCAGCAGGAAAGCUCUAAACUGGGCGGUGGAUAACCUCGUCCGCGACGGGGAUCACCUUAUCCUAAUUGCCAUACGCCCGGAAGGGAACUAUGAAGAGGGAGAGAUGCAACUCUGGGAGGUCACUGGUUCCCCUUUAAUCCCUAUUCAUGAGUUUUCUGAUCCUGCGAUUAUGAAGAAGUAUGGACUGAAGCCUGAUCCAGAAACC